rnacentral:lncRNA from 1 species
CACCAGCUGGGUUCCCGGAAGGGUGGGGCCGGGGCCGAGGCCAGCAGGGCGCGCCGCCUACCUCCGGGGCCACGCCACUGCCCUCGCUGUAGUUCUCGGAGAUGAGCUGAUCGAAGAGCAGGUGGAUCUCGGUGCGGGCAGAGCUGCUGUCAUCCGGGCGCAGGGCGCAGAGCCUGGCAGACAAGAGGCGAAACCCAUUGCCUCGCUCAGGGAUUGCUUCCCGCGGUGCCUCCCGCGGCUGCCCGGAAGAUGCACUGUUGUGCUGGUGCCUUAAGUGCAUUUGGGGUCGGCCUUUUGGCCCAUCUCUCAUGGGAAUGAGGAUUCUGUGGUCAAAUACAUUGGGCAGAUGCUGCCUACUUCAUCCCCCUUACUGAGAGUCGAGGAGCAGCCCAUCAGCACAUUAAAGGCUCUGGUAAGUCCUACAGUAAAGAAAUUGGUUUAACAAUGUUUUCCAGUGUGAUCUGACCACAG